GACCCUGAAGCUCAAUGGAUAGCGAGAGCGAGUUAGACUUCUACUCUAAAGGUCGUGGGUUAGAAUCCUACCUGGGAUGGCCU